rnacentral:tRNA from 1 species
CAAAGAAUAGUUUAGUUGAGAAUACUGGCUUUGGGAGUCAGUGGUAGGGGUUAAAAUCCCUUUUCUUUGA